rnacentral:rRNA from 1 species
UACGGAGGGUGCGAGCGUUAAUCGGAAUUAUUGGGCGUAAAGGGUAGGUAGGUGGUCUCAUUUGUCUGGGGUGAAAGCCUUGAGCUUAACUCAAGAAGUGCCCCGGAAACGGUGAGACUGGAGUCCCGGAGAGGGUCGUGGAAUUCCCGGUGUAGCGGUGAAAUGCGUAGAGAUCGGGAGGAACACCAGAGGCGAAGGCGAGUCCCUGGACAACACCUGACACUGAGGCACGAAAGCUAGGGGAGCAAACAGG